rnacentral:miRNA from 1 species
UAGGGUGACAAGGCUGGUUUGCCUAGGACUGAGGGGCUUUCUGGGAUGUAGGGCAUCCAGUGCCAAAGGCAG